CACGUAGGGCGCAAGCGUUGUCCGGAAUUAUUGGGCGUAAAGAGCUCGUAGGCGGUCUGUUGCGUCCGCUGUGAAAACUCGGGGCUUAACCCCGAGCCUGCAGUGGAUACGGGCAGACUAGAGUGUGGUAGGGGAGACUGGAAUUCCUGGUGUAGCGGUGAAAUGCGCAGAUAUCAGGAGGAAUACCCAUAGCGAAGGCAGCUCGCUGGGACGUUACUGACGCUGAGGCGCGAAAGCGUGGGGAGCGAACAGG
rnacentral:rRNA from 1 species